CGGAACUGCCGGUGACAAACCGGAGGAAGGUGGGAUGACGUCAAGUCAUCAUGGCCCUUAUGUCCAGGGCUACACACGUGCUACAAUGGGCGAGACAGAGCGACGCGAAGCCGCGAGGUGGAGCAAAUCGCAGAAAAUCGCCCUCAGUUCGGAUUGGAGUCUGAAACCCGACUCCAUGAAGGUGGAAUCGCUAGUAAUCGCGCAUCAGCAUGGCCGCGGUCGAAUACGUUCCGGGCCUU
rnacentral:rRNA from 1 species